GACAGAGGAGGCAAGCGUUGUUCGGAAUCACUGGGCUUAAAGCGGGUGCAGGCGGCUCCGAAAGUGUUUUGUGAAAGCCCCCGGCUCAACCGGGGAAUUGCAGGGCAAACUACGGGGCUUGAGGUCGGUAGAGGUGCCUGGAACUCUAGGUGGAGCGGUGAAAUGCGUAGAUAUCUAGAGGAACGCCUGAGGCGAAAGCGGGGCACUGGGCCGAUUCUGACGCUGAGACCCGAAAGCGUGGGGAGCAAACAGG
rnacentral:rRNA from 1 species